rnacentral:lncRNA from 1 species
UAAUAUUAGAUGGAACUAGGUUACUAUAUUAUUAAUAGUAUUAAAUUACUGAUGCUAUUAGGUUUUCGACCUUUGGAUAAAAGGAUGUGCGGUUAGGAUGAUAGUGCUCUCCUAUGAUUGAGUAGGUGGUUCGUUAAAUAAUAUGAUCUAACGAGAAAAAUUAUUUUUAUUAGUUUUUAUUUAGAAAUAUAAAAUUAUUUUGAGAAGUAAAAUUUUAUUUUUUAAAAUUCUAAAGUUU